rnacentral:rRNA from 1 species
AUUGAACGCUGGCGGCAGGCUUAACACAUGCAAGUCGAGCGGAGAUGAGGUGCUUGCACCUUAUCUUAGCGGCGGACGGGUGAGUAAUGCUUAGGAAUCUGCCUACUAGUGGGGGACAACAUUCCGAAAGGAAUGCUAAUACCGCAUACGUCCUACGGGAGAAAGCAGGGGAUCUUAGGACCAUGCGAUAAUAGAUGAGCCUACGUAGGAUUAGCUAGUUGGUGGGGUAAAGGCCUACCAAGGCUACGAUCUGUAGCGGGUCUGAGAGGAUGAUCCGCCACACUUGGACUGAGACACGGCCCAGACUCCGACGGGAGGCAGCAGUGGGGAAUAUUGGACAAUGGGGGAAACCCUGACCCAGCCAUGCCGCGUGUGUGAAGAAGGCCUUAUGGUUGUAAAGCACUUUAAGCGAGGAGGAGGCUACUGAGACUAAUACUCUUGGAUAGUGGACGUUACUCGCAGAAUAAGCACCGGCUAACUCUGUGCCAGCAGCAGCCGCAG